GGCGGUUCUUGGGUGAUGCACCCCAGAAUUGGGCUCCCUCCUCUCUGGUUCUGGGUGUGGCACUCAAGAACCGCU
rfam:Myotis brandtii contig173038, whole genome shotgun sequence.